rnacentral:rRNA from 1 species
AUACGGAGGUUGCAAGCGUUAAUCGGAAUUACUGGGCGUAAAGGGUUCGUAGGCGGUUAUUUAAGUCAGAUGUGAAAGCCCCGGGCUCAACCUGGGAAUUGCAUCUGAUACUGGGUAACUAGAGUUUAAGAGAGGAGUGUGGAAUUUCCGGUGUAGCGGUGAAAUGCAUAGAGAUCGGAAGGAACAUCAGUGGCGAAGGCGGCACUCUGGCUUAAAACUGACGCUGAGGAACGAAAGCGUGGGUAGCAAACAGAAUUAGAAACCCUAGUAGUCC